rnacentral:rRNA from 1 species
AUGGCGCCUCGCGUGCCCUCCUCCCUCCUCCUCGUCGGCGCCGCGCUGCUCCUGGGCCUGGCGGCCGGCGCGGCGCGGGCGUCCAACGAGGAGGGGGACGCGCUGUACGCGCUGCGGAUGCGGCUGUCGGACCCCAACGGCGUGCUCCAGAGCUGGGAUCCCACCCUCGUCAACCCCUGCACCUGGUUCCACGUCACCUGCGACACCGCCAGCCGCGUCGUGCGCCUGGAUUUAGGCAACUCCAACGUCUCCGGCUCCAUCGGCCCCGAGCUCAGCCGCCUUGUGAAUCUUCAGUACCUGGAGCUGUACAGGAACAACCUCAACGGCGAGAUCCCAAAAGAGUUGGGCAAGCUGAAGAAUUUGAUCAGCUUGGAUCUGUAUGCCAAUAAGCUCACCGGAAGAAUCCCCAAGUCGCUUUCCAAGCUCAGCUCGCUGAGAUUCAUGCGUUUGAACAACAACAAACUUGCUGGAUCAAUUCCACGGGAGCUGGCCAAACUCUCCAACCUUAAAGUCAUUGAUUUGUCUAACAAUGACUUAUGUGGGACGAUCCCUGUCGAUGGUCCAUUCUCAAGCUUCCCUCUUAGAAGCUUCGAGAACAACAGCAGACUGAACGGCCCGGAGCUGCAAGGAUUGGUUUCCUAUGACUUUGGAUGCUAG